UAAUUAAGCGGAGGAAAAGAAACUAACAAGGAUUCCCCUAGUAACGGCGAGUGAAGCGGGAUGAGCUCACCAUGUGAAUCUGCGCAACCAGCAAUGGUGCGCCGAAUUGUGGUCUGAAGAAGUAUUGUCGGCCGCGAAUCUGGGUUAAGUGCAUUGGAAAAUGUCGCAUGUUAUGGUUAAAGCCCAGUUCAUGCCUAGAUUUGUUGUGCUUUGGCACAUGCUUUCUACGAGUCGAGUUGCUUGGGAUUGCAGCUCAAAUUUGGUGGUAAAUUCCAUCUAAAGCUAAAUAUUGGUGUGACACCGAUAGUGUACAAGUACCGUGAGGGAAAGAUGCAAAGAACUUUGAAAAGAGAGUUAAAGAGUACCUGAAAUUGUUAAAAGGGAAGCGAAGGAAUCCAGUGUAAAGCGAAGCCAUUCUUCUCAAGCCACUUGUGGUUUGGGCGCUGUGGUUAGCUGUACUAAUUCUGGGCUUGACCUGGGGCAAACGUUCUUUGAGUAGACGACUCUUCGGAGUGAGUGCUCAUUUUUCAUAUCCUGGGUCGGGCUGAGGUCAGUCACUCUGUGCUCGUGAUGAAUUAGGAAAUGGAUUUCUUUACCCCG
rnacentral:rRNA from 1 species